rnacentral:rRNA from 1 species
UACGAAGGGGGCUAGCGUUGCUCGGAAUCACUGGGCGUAAAGGGUGCGUAGGCGGGUCUUUAAGUCAGGGGGGAAAUCCUGGAGCUCAACUCCAGAACUGCCUUUGAUACUGGCGAUCUCGAGUCCGGGAGAGGUGAGUGGAACUGCGAGUGUAGAGGUGAAAUUCGUAGAUAUUCGCAAGAACACCAGUGGCGAAGGCGGCUCACUGGCCCGGUACUGACGCUGAGGUGCGAAAGCGUGGGGAGCAAACAGG